rnacentral:lncRNA from 10 species
UUUUGACUUUUGCUUGAAAUAUUGCUGAUCCUUGUUUUGUUUUUCAGAGUCAAGCAAACUUAUUUUGAGCUAUUUACAGCCUUUAAUCAUUGAGUAAGGUAUACUCCUGUGAACAAAAUUUGGAGUAUAUUUGUCUCUGUCUCUCUGCCUGGCUUCUCCAGAAUUUGGAAACUAGUUGUGAGUAUUCUUAAUUUAUGGCCAUAUAGUUGUUUGCAUCAGUGCAAUAAGAAUCCAUUUUCUUUUGCAACAGCACACAAUUGGAGAAACUGGUUGCAACAAGACACAAUUGGAGAACCUGGUUGCUUUACUGAGGCUUUGACUGGAAAGACGAACCCUGCUUGUUCCUGUGAACCAAACAGCAAUCUCUGGCUGCAGCUCAGAAAAAAACAAAAGGGAUGGGUGACGUAAAAAUCUGGAUCAGUAUUCUCCUUCUGAGCAGUUAUCCUGCAAAUCCUUCCAGGUGAUGAAAAUAAAUAGGAUGCCCACCACCCAGAGGUUUCCUUUUUGGGAAAGUAAGACAAAGGGAGCUAACCAAAGCCAAGCCCCAUGCGUCCAAAUCUUAGCAAGCAUAACUAUAGCCACCAGUGAUCUAGGGGUGUCACAAGACAUCCUUUUCUCUCCCUGGUUGGAGGAGGACUCAAUUCCACCGCUUCAUCUCAGCAUUCAGCUUAUAAUAAGGAGUCCACGCAACCCCCCCUCAAGACGUAUUUUUGUCCCAAAUUCAAUUCCAAACUUCAGCUCAAAGCCCUAGGAAAGAAAACUGGAUCUGAGGAAUCCAGAGACAGAUGAUAAUGGCAGUUAAAAGACACAGCACAGGUGAGCAUGACUAAUUCCUGCUGCUUAAGCCAAGCUUCCCAUUACACGGAUAAAGGUCAUGCUAGUAUCCACGGCAUAAAUGAGGUCUAGGGAAUUCACAGGCUACUGACAGCAGGGGAGACAGGGCGUAUGUGGGUAAGAGCGGAUAUUCCCAUCCCUUAGGCCCUCCUUUUAACAUGGGUGAAAGCCACUUUGACACCCAUAGGUGGCACCCUGUUGUGGCUGCCAGGACUUGGGGAUACAAGGACAGAGGAAAGAAAGAGGAACGCCUCACUUUCCGUCCCUCACGUACUCUGGGUGUUUGCUAGUAAGAGAAAGGAACCAGGGAUGCCUGCUCCCUUCUUUCUGGAUGGGUAGCCAUUCAUCUUCAGUCUGUAUCUCUUUUGAAUGCCUCCUGAACCCCUGGGACUCCUCUAAAAAACACCUUCUUUUUCCUUUUUUUUUCCUCUGUCCUCUCUUCAGUGAUAUAUAAUGGUGUCUCUGUACUAUGAGACGCUCCCUUCAGAUGCAUUCUCCAAACUGGGAAGAGUUAAUUUCCUAAACCUUAGGCUGGUUGGUUUAGUACUGGGCUCAGGAGAAGGGAACCCAGAAGUCCAAAUGCUGGCAAAAGGGUAGUUUCAUUUUUUAUUUUUUUAACCAGUUGGGCUUUUGGCCUCCCCUCCCACUUUGCAAACCAGUAAAAGGCCUUGGGAUUUUUUGAGCUGUCCUUACCGUAACCUCCUUGUUUCGUUUUGAUAUAUGUUUCCUAAUAACCCAGUUGUCUAUUCUCGCCUUCAGGCUAUCAAACUCCAAAUGAUCAUGCAACCAGAGCCUCGGACGAUGGCCUUUUCUGCUGGGGAUACUUAGAUAAGCCUCUGAGGGAGAUCUGACUGCUGUUUUCCCCAAAACAGUGCCCCCUGUUAGCAGAAAGCAGUUAAUUUUGGUCAUCAUCCUUAUCCUUACCUUAUUCUAACCGCCGUUGGAUGUACUUCUUUAGAGGGGGGAAUAAGACAGCCAAAUGCCUAGGCAGAUAUAAAGGUGUCCCCAGAGAAUCUCCGACCCACCCCACAAGUGUUUACAUCAGAUGCUUCUGUACAGAUGAGGGAACAUGCCCAGGGCUUCAUCUGAGCCUGCUCACAUGUGCACUGGGAGAAUGGGGUGGAGCCACAGGCAGGGGGAGGAGCCUGCUCUUCAGUUCCUGUGUGGUGGCCUGGGAUUCAACCUGUGAGGUGGGAGGCCUGUUAAUAGGACUCCAUCUCACUUUGCUGAGUUUUUUCUUUUUUUUUCCCCCUUUUGCCCAAUAAAAUGCUGCUCUGCACACCCUUCAAUGUGUCCACAUGUCUAAAGUCUCCUGGUCAUGUGACAUGAACCCAGUUUUAGCUGAACUAAGGAGCAAAAUUCUGCAACAAUGAUGCCUUAAAGACAUUUCUGCCUGCACAAUCAUUUCUUUUCUUUUCUUUUCUUUCUUUUUUUUUUUUUUUUUGAGACAGAGUCUCACUCUGUCACCCAGGCUAGAGUGCAGUGGCAUGAUCUCGGCUCACUGCAACCU